AGCCCUGUUCCCAUAAAAUGAAAAUAAAUAAGCCAAAAACUCCAGGCAAGGGAACUCAACAUUUUCCAUCCCUGUUCAUGUUUAUUUUGAAGUUCUACUACUCCCUUAUAACCCAGCUCAGAAGAUCUGCUAGCAUUUUUAGCACCAUUAAUAAUAGUAUCGGAGGCAAUUAUAGCAAAGUUUUUAUCUCUGCAAUAAAAAUGAUGUGCUUCUAACCUCAAAGUCAUACAUGUACCUGAUUGGUUGUAUACCAGAGAGAUUUUGAAAAAUUCCAUGAGAAGAAAGUGCUGCAAUCACUAUUUAAUUGUCAGGGCCUAAUUACUCAAUUUUGGGAGAUUAAAAGAAAUAAUUCUGGGACUGGCACUGUGGUGUAGUGAGCUAAGCCGCCAGCAUUCCAUAUGGAUGCCGGUUCAUGUCCCAGCUGCUCCUCUUCUAAGCUAGCUCUCUGCUAAUGGCCAGGGAAAGCAGUGGAAGACGGCUCAAGUGCUUGGGCCCCUUGCACCUGCUUGGGAGACCCGGAAGAAGCUCCUGGCUCCUGGCUUUGGAUCGGCUCAGCUCUGGCCUUUGUCGACAUCUGGGGAGUGAACCAGCGGAUGGAAGACCUUUCUCUCUGUCUGUAACUCUCUCAAAUAAAUAAAUAAAUAAUCUUAAAAAAAAAAAAAUGGUUCCUAUUGUCCCAGGUUAAAUUCAUGCCAGUGAGGCUUGACCUCUGUUCCUCAAUUUCCUUAUCUACAGAAUGGGUGUGAUUAUAGGAGCUCACCCAUAGGUUAGUCUGAGGAGUCUGUGGGGAAUCAACUAAGAUGAUAAUGCGUUUUCAUGGCUUCUCCUUCUUGCCUUGUGCCCAACCAUUCCCUGGGUGCCCCAUGACUGUCACAGUGCCUUCAGCACAGCAGGAGUUCAGGACAUAUUUGCUGAAUAAGGAAAUGAAUGCACUUCACACAGACCUGGCUCCAGUGUGACAAGGAGGAUGACAAAGCACCAGUGAUCUACAAGUCUACAAAAUCUUUAUCUUUCGCGCUGAUUUCAGACGUCUUUGGGGAUCUGCGCUCCUCAUCUACUCUGCGCUCCAGAAGCCAAGACAAAGCCAGUGGAGCGGCUUGGCGGUUGCAUCAGCUGCACUUCUAAGGCAUAAGAGUUGCAGCGAGCAGGAGCCUCGCACGGAGUGGGCUUCAUACAGGAUCCCUCGGGGAAGGCCAGGCCGGCCAGGUGCAGUGUGAGAAGUGGGGUUUAAGACGUGCUCUGGGGGCCGGAACCCGCAUUCAGCUCAUCUUGGGAAGAGGAAGGCAGGUGUGUGAACGCCCCCCUCUAGACCGUGGCCACAUACCCUGUUUACCAACACUCAGGCUGCCCCUCCAAACCAGCCCUCCCUUGUCCACAGACAGCCUGUGCAAGGGAAUCCCUUUUCUCGGGACAAAGAAAUGAAUUUUACUGACUUCCAUAAUUUAUGGGCUUCCCUGCUUGCCCCCCGUCUUCUGGGGUCCCGUCUAUGAGCCAUCUGAUUGGAUGAAUACAUUGAC